UUCCUGUUUUGCUGUGACAAUUCCUCCUUGUACUUACAAACAGAACUCAGCUUUGCAUCCCAUCCCAUCCUGUUGAUUUCUCUUUGGUUACAUGAGUGCCUGAAGUUACAUUUUAGAUGCUGAAAUCACUGCACCUUAAAAACAAAAAAGGUUGAGUUGAAUUGCAUUCCUCUUCCCUUGUGUUAUAAGAGAUUUCAAGAUGAUGGACCUUUGGAUAUUCAUUUGACUAACGGAAGUUGUUAUGAGAUAAAAAGGUUCUGGAAAACAGCAAACAUUUCUGAGCUACAUAGCAGCAAACACCAGGAAUUCAUUUGCUGUAAG